UGUGCUUUUCUCAUGCAGAAAAUGUAGACGCUGUUGUGCCCGCUUCACCAAUGUCUUGCUGUUGAGCAACCAAGCCAGCCUACUUGUUAAUUGUGCACCCAGGAAUUUGAUGCUGGUAACUAUCUCCAUAGGUGAAUCAUUGAUACACAGAGGAGUGAAGCUGUGCCUGCCUUUUCUGAAAUUGACAAUGAUCUCUUUGGUUUUUCCAAUGUUUAAAAAUAGGCUGUUUUCCUUACACCAGUUCACCAAACCCUCAAUCUUCUUGCAUUGUCAUCUUGAAUAGAGCCCACUACUGUUGCAUCAUCCACAGACCUCAUAAUAUGGUUGGUGGCAAACCUAGCACAACAGUCAUGAGUCAACAAGGUGAAAAGCAGCAGACUUAGGAUGCAGCCCUGAGGAGAAUCUGUGCUCAAGAAAAUGGUGUUAGAAAUAUUUGUUCCAACUUGCACAUACUGGGACCUGUUAGUAAGAAAAUCAAAAAUCCAGUUGCACAAAGGAGUGUUUAAGCCUAAAAAGGGCCCAGUUUGUCUACUAGAUGCUGGGGAAUGAUUGUGUUAAAUACUGAACUGAAGUCGACAAACAACAAACGCACCUGAGUAUUUCUCUCCUCUAAGCGCUCCAAGGUCAGAUGGAGAACAGAAGGAGGAGGCUGCGUGGCCCGCCACGCUGUACCACUGUCACAAGGCGAGGCAGGUGUGGAGGGGAUGGAGCUACCCCAAGUGCCCCAUAGAGGCCCAAACACUUUUCGCCAGAAGGAGACUGGAAGCUUUGUCUGCUUGCAAAUGGGGCACUUGGAAACUGAGCGGUUGACUCCAUUUCCAAGCACCCCAUUUGCAAGCCGAUGAAGCUUCCAGUCUCUGUCAUUUCUCUGUUUUGCUUUCUGCAUUGCAGCCCUCUCACAGCUGACAGCAGGAGGGCUGGGCUGAGCUGGGUAGGUCAGCGGAGCGGCGAGAAGUGUGGAAAUGCUCUGUGGAGGGGAUCUUCUAAGGUGGUGGUGUCUUUUUUUGGUGUGAUGAGAGCGGACGUGAGGAUGAAAUGAGAUGGUUUCGCUCCCUGUCCUCCAAGACGUAUCAGGGACCGAGAGGCACCCCCGCCCUAUCAGGUGUGGCCGCUGCAUCUUAAACUGUUUUCCUGACUGUGCUGCUGACAGGGAAGAUGGGCAAGAAAGCAUCACCAGUGCCGACAUUCAGACAUCUGCCCUGUUAUUUCUUGGCCAGAUUAUUUUUAAAUGGAUUGCAAAAGUAUAUUGAAAGUUGGAAACUGAAGGGAAGAAGGUGGAUCGUUUAGUCUGAAAUCCUGCCAAGUUGUUCUAUUGGACAGCAUGAGUACAGGGGAGGGAAUUCUUACAUUGUAUUACUUUGAUUAUUGGAGGGAAAGUUUAAAUCUAGUUUCACUUUUGAUCGUGCUGAUAUUAUGUAUCCAAUAAACAUGUUCUUUGAGGAA